CAAUGGAAUGCGUUGACAGUUGUACGGAAAAUAUAUAAUAAUUAAUAUCAUAAUUAACGACUAUCUCUAUUGUAAAACGUCAAUUGUCUAAAAACAAAGCGAUAAUUAAUUACGAUUAGAAAAGAAAAUUCAAAAUAUCUUUCCAAGUGUGUGCAUGGGAACCAGAUGUGGAUGACAUUUAGUUACAACUGAUGGUCAAUAUGUCUUUUAUUAAAAAGAAAACAAAGAAGAAGUGGCAAGAAAUAAUAACAAAUCUCCAACAUGAUCUAACCUGAGCAUACGUAAUUCUGAAAAUUGAAAUCAAAGUAAAUAAAAAGGAAUAAGAAGUGUUGAUGUAAGGUUAUAUUUUGAAAAAAUGUUUAUGUUAGAAAGUGUGAAUAGUUUUAUUGUAAAUUACUGUUAUAUUAUUGCAAUGAUCUUUGUUUAAAGUAAUUACAAUAAAACACAUGAAAUAAUGAAGGAAAUAAAAUAAUAAAAAGUAAAAACAAGCAAACACUAUGGAUUUACGAAGUAAAUUUAAAGUUGUAGACAAGCAAAUAGAUUUUAUGACUUAAAUUCUAAAAAAACAAUAGAGUUAUGCUAAUUUAUGUAAGUUUAUCAUACUGAUCUUAAUCAUUAAAUUACAUGUUUGUUUAUUUAUUUAAUACUUACUUAGUUUGUGUGAUACUCGUCUCUGUUUCACUUCUCUCUCACUUUUCUCAGCUUGUAAAACAUGAUGUAGUCCACGUUAAUAUUUUACAAAUAUUUAAUAACAA